AUACGUAGGUGGCAAGCGUUGUCCGGAAUUAUUGGGCGUAAAGCGCAUGUAGGCGGUGCCUUAAGUCUGUCGUGAAACUGCGGGGCCUAACCCCGUAUGGCGAUGGAAACUGUGGCACUUGAGUGCAGGAGAGGAAAGGGGAACUCCCAGUGUAGCGGUGAAAUGCGUAGAUAUUGGGAAGAACACCGGUGGCGAAGGCGCCUUUCUGGACUGUGUCUGACGCUGAGAUGCGAAAGCCAGGGUAGCGAACGGGAUUAGAUACCCCGGUAGUCCUGGCCGUAAACGAUGGGUACUAGGGGUGGGAGGUAUCGACCCCUUCCGUGCCGGAGUUAACGCAAUAAGUACCCCGCCUGGGGAGUACGGCCGCAAGGCUUAAACUCAAAGGAAUUGACGGGG
rnacentral:rRNA from 1 species